rnacentral:rRNA from 1 species
CUCCUACGGGAGGCAGCAGUAGGGAAUCUUGCACAAUGGGCGAAAGCCUGAUGCAGCCAUGCCGCGUGAGUGAAGAAGGCUUUAGGGUUGUAAAACUCUUUCAGUGGGGAAGAUAAUGACGGUACCCACAGAAGAAGCCCCGGCUAACUCCGUGCCAGCAGCCGCGUAAU